CACGCAGGCGGCCUGGUAAGUCAGAUGUGAAAGCCCGGGGCUUAACCCCGGAAGUGCAUUUGAAACUAUCAGGCUUGAGUAUGGGAGAGGGAAGUGGAAUUCCUGGUGUAGAGGUGAAAUUCGUAGAUAUCAGGAGGAACACCGGUGGCGAAGGCGGCUUCCUGGACCAAUACUGACGCUGAGGUGCGAAGGCGUGGGGAGCAAACAGGAUUAGAUACCCUGGUAGUCC
rnacentral:rRNA from 1 species